rnacentral:rRNA from 1 species
AAUUCGAUUCGUAUUACCGCGGCUGCUGGCACGUGGUUAGCCGGGGCUUCUUCUGGAGAUACCGUCACCCUCUGGGCUAUUCACCCGAGUAGCUUCGUCUCUCCUGAAAGGGGUUUACAACCCGAAGGCCUUCUUCCCUCACGCGGCGUCGCUGCGUCAGGCUUUCGCCCAUUGCGCAAGAUUCCCUACUGCUGCCUCCCGUAGGAGUCUGGGCCGUGUCUCAGUCCCAGUGUGGCUGAUCGUCCUCUCAGACCAGCUACGGAUCGUCGCCUUGGUGAGCCUUUACCUCACCAACAAGCUAAUCCGCCGCGGGCUCGUCCCCGACCGGAGGCCGAAGCUACCCUUUUCCAGCCGGCUCGAGAGCCAGAUGGGGCAUCCGGUAUUAAUCCAAGUUUCCCUGGGCUAUCCCGGUGUCGGGGGUUGAUUACCCACGUGUUACUCACCCGUUCGCCGCUGUCCCCUCGGCCGAAGCCCAGGUUCUCGCUCGACUUGCAUGUAUUAAGCGCGCCGCCAGCGUUCGUCCUGACCCAUGAUCAAACUCUAAUCACUAGUGAAUUCGCGGCCGCCUGCAGGUCGACCAUAUGGGAGAGCUCCCCA